rnacentral:rRNA from 1 species
UACGUAGGGUGCAAGCGUUGUCCGGAUUCAUUGGGCGUAAAGAGCGUGUAGGCGGCCAGUUAGGUCGGUUGUGAAAACUGGAGGCUCAACCUUCAGAGGUCGACCGAAACCAUCUGGCUAGAGUCCGGGAGAGGAGAGUGGAAUUCCUGGUGUAGCGGUGAAAUGCGCAGAUAUCAGGAGGAACACCGAUUGCGAAGGCAGCUCGCUGGGACGUUACUGACGCUGAGACGCGAAAGCGUGGGGAGCAAACAGG